rnacentral:rRNA from 1 species
AAACGUAAAUUUAACCUACACAUACAACGCCAGGGUACUACGAGCUUCAGCUUAAAACCCAAAGGACUUGACGGUGUCCCAUCCAACUAGAGGAGCCUGUUCUACAAUCGAUACUCCACGAUAUACCUAACCAUUUCUUGCUACUCAGCCCGUAUACCUCCGUCGUAAGCUUACCGUAUGAACGCACAACAGUAAGCCCAAGGGUUUAAUACCAUAACGUCAGGUCAAGGUGCAGCUCAUGAAAUGGAAGCAAUGGGCUACAAUUUCUAAUUUAGAACAAACGAAACACUGCAUGAAACACAGUCAUGAAGGAGGAUUUAGCAGUAAAUAGGGAAUAGAGAGCCCUAUUAAACUCGGCCCUGGGACAUGUACAAACCGCCCGUCACCCUCUUCAACAGCCUUUCACUUAGUUUAUAACUUAACUAUGCACCCUAGAAGAGGUAAGUCGUAACAUGGUAAGUAUACUGGAAAGUGUGCUUGGAACA